CUCAAAGAUUAAGCCANGCAAGUGGNUCUUACCUGACGGUUUGAAUAAGUGUUCUCGCAUAGAUUUGAUCAGUUUUUGUUCCGUUCAUUUCUAUUCUAUUUCUGUCUUUUUUACAUUGNCUCACAUUCACUUGUGCAACUGCAGAUAGCUGCUUAAUACAGUCUCACUUGUCUUGACUUGGCAUUCGUUUGCUAUUCACAUUUCUUCUUUCUCUCUCUCUCUUUCUACCAUGUCUGUGAAAGCAAUUUUGGUGUGUUCGCACUGUUAACACUUCCUACUGGAUAACUAAGGGAAAGUUUGGCUAAUACGUACGAGANUCACUUUUCUCUUCUCUCUUCUCUCUUCUCUCUCUCUCUCUCUCUCUCUCUCUCAUUUGCACUUAUUGGUUUGUGGACCGGAUCUUUUUGUAUUUCUGGUUUCACAGUAGCCUCAUGANUGACAAUAAGAACGCACUAAGCAAUCUUUCUGAGAUUGUUGCUGAGCAGACUUGCAAUCAUCUUUUUGCAAGCAUGUCAUACAAGCAUCUACAGCAUCAAGUCACAGNGUUGGCAAGUGUCUUUUUGAACCUUCAAAGCAGUCACGCAUACGGAGGAGUAGUUUCUGAUCCCAUAGAAGGAGCACCGUACAUUGAGAGACCGCUCUUAGUUCUAAGGAACGCAGCAGGCGCGUAAAUUGCCCAAUGAUAGCCUCUUGUGGACUUAUCAUCUUGGACAAGAUAAAACAAAACUGAUUCGAAUUUUCCGUUGAAUGCUUUUUGCNUUCGUGGUCUUAUUCUUCUUACUUCUUUCUCUUUCUCUCUCUCUCUCUUAUUCUUUAUUUCUGUCUUGUUGACACCUUCUUGUUUGACGAUUUGGACUGGCUCGUUCACACGAGUUGGUCUGAUCCUUUCAUUGAGGCAGUGACAAGCUGUAANUUUUGAGUAUGCUUAAAGAACGGGUGUGUAGACACUGUCACUUCGUGAUUCGUGACUCCGCCNAAUAUGUGCUCAUUUGGNAUGCGGUGAAUUUAAGUCAUUCGGAGUGAGUGGUGUCCUUGUUUGGACAUCACAAACAUCUGAAUUUCAAGUGGAGGGCAAGUCUGGUGCCAGCAGCCGCGGUAAUACCAGCUCCACUGGCCUAUACAAUCAUUGUUGCGGUUAAGAGGCUCGUAGUUGGAUUGAACACUUUUAAUAUGAAAACAAAUUUUAUUCUUUUUAAUAGAAAUAGAUUUGCCUUUUUUUUAUUAUACGACAUACAAUUUUACACACACAUUUAUUUUUAUUAUCAUCAUUCUUUUUUAUUUUUCAACACUGUGAACAAAUCAGAGUGUACCAAACAUGUCGUUUUACGAUAAGUGCAUUGAAUGUUUCAUCAUGGAAUGUUGCACUUCUAACAUUUUUAUAUGUAUAUUUUUUUNGUCAUUUAGUUACACUACACAUUUGGUUAACGUGGCAAUAAAAGGUAUAUUAUUAUAAAAAUAUGUCGAUGGGGAUAGUUGGAGUCAAGAGUACUGCUGGGCGAGAGGUGAAAUUCAUUGACCCUAGCAAGACUACCAAAAGCGAAAGCACUUGACUAGGCUAUACUCUUUGUGAAUAUUUUCCUUUUUAAAUUAUUACACACACUAUUAAUUNUUUUAAAUGGAAAUUUCCCACUUUACAAUGAAGAACGAAGGUUGGGGGAUCAAAGAGGAUCAGAUACCCUCGUCGUCCCAUUUGUUACAUCAAACGAUGGGCUCUCAAUUGCAUAUACUUUUGAAUGCUAUUGCCCUCAACCUGCAAAAAUUUUGUGGUUCGAGCUUAUGUUAUAUUUUUAUGACACGCUCACCUAUUUAUUUUAGUACGGUUUCGACGGACAUUUCAUUUAUAUAUUUUUUGCGUGUAAGUAUUUUUAAUAUUGCUUGAAACAUUAGCAAUAUGUGCCUGCACAUGAUUUUCUGAGCUUUGCGCUCAUAUUAUUUGGUGAGAUGUAAGCACUAGACGUGGGCUACUUUCAGCGGCUGUGCGCAGGUAUUAAUUUAUCGCCGUAGCUUUGUUUGAUUGUUCAGCCUUUCGUUAUUUUAAUGGUGUGAAGCACGCGUUAGGCACGCGCUUACUGCAGAAAUGUCUGAGACAUUCCCUCCGGGGGUAGUAUGCACGCAAGUGUGAAACUUGAAGGAAUUGACGGAAGGGCACCACAAGAACGCGUGGAGCAUGUGGCUUAAUUUGACUCAACGCGGGAAAUCUUACCGGGUCCGGACACACUGAGGAUUGACAGGCAAUCAAUGUGAGAUUUAUAUCUCAUAUUAUAAAUAUGCUAGUCCUUUCAUGAUUAUGUGAUAGGUGGUGCAUGGCCGUUCUUAGUUCGUGGAGUGAUCUGUCUGCUUAAUUGCGUUUCGCAUGGGACUUAUAAAUAAGUGUGCUACUUUUCUUGUUUCGCUUUUAUAUUUUAACUUAUUUAUAAGUUAUUUAUGAUUGCGUUUACAAUUAUGAAAUGUCUGCGCACAUUAGGUCCUGAAAGCAACGAACGUGACCGCAUCCUCUUGUUGCCUUUUACUUAAACGAACAGUCUUAUUUUUAAUAAAUUCGGCUGUGAGUUUUAACAAAAGAGUGCUUUAUAAAACUAGAGGGACCGCUGCGACUUUUUUAAACCAGAGGAAGGUUGCGGCAAUAACAGGUCUGUGAUGCCCUUAGAUGUUCCGGGCUGCACACGUGCUACAAUGAUUAUUGCAGUGAGCAUCUCAUUUAUUAUAAAACGCUGUUUUAUUGACCAUUAUGAUUUAUUGUUUUGGUUGAGCAGCCAAGCCUGCUUCGAAAGUUCGCAGGUAAUCAAUUGGAAGUAAUGAUUUCCCUUUUUUUAAAAUUCAGAUUUUAAUUUGUCUUUUUGUGAAGCACACUAUAUGUUGCUCCCUUCCCUGGCCGUUUGCUUUUUUGUCUUUCGGUCUUUAGUGGUUGGGUGUUUUUUCAACAUGUGCUUUUUGUCAAUUCAUGGUGGGGACAGACCAUUGUUAAUUGUUGGUCUCGGUCUUAACUAGGAAUGCCUUGUACGGGUCUUUGGUUCAACAAACCACCCGGAAUACGUCCCUGCCCUUUGUACACACCGCCCGUCGCUCUUACCGAUGGACUUCUCUGUGAGUUUGAGGGACUGGGUACCUUAGCUUUUACGUUAAACUAAAAGCUACAAUCACUUAUGGAAACUUAAACGAACAGUGUGGUCUAAAGGAAAGAGAAGUCGUAACAAGGCAUCGGUAGGUGAACCU
rnacentral:rRNA from 1 species